AUACGGAGGAUGCAAGCGUUAUCCGGAUUUAUUGGGUUUAAAGGGUGCGUAGGCGGUUUGCUAAGCGGGAGGUGAAAUGCCGGCGCUCAACGUCGGAAGUGCCUCCCGAACUGGUAGACUUGAAUGACUCUGCCGUGGGAGGAAUGUGUAGUGUAGCGGUGAAAUGCUUAGAGAUUACACAGAACACCGAUUGCGAAGGCAUCUCACGAAGGGUUGAUUGACGCUGAGGCACGAAAGCGUGGGGAUCAAACAGGAUUAGAUACCCUGGUAGUCCACGCAGUAAACGAUGAUGGCUAACCGCUGGGCUUAUCAAUUCAGUGGCCAAGCGAAAGCGAUAAGCCAUCCACCUGGGGAGUACGACCGCAAGGUUGAAACUCAAAUGAAUUGACGGGG
rnacentral:rRNA from 1 species